rnacentral:rRNA from 1 species
GGAUUAGAUACCCUGGUAGUCCACGCCGUAAACGAUGUCGACUAGCCGUUGGGACCCUUGAGGUCUUAGUGGCGCAGCUAACGCGUUAAGUCGACCGCCUGGGGAGUACGGUCGCAAGAUUAAAACUCAAAUGAAUUGACGGGGGCCCGCACAAGCGGUGGAGCAUGUGGUUUAAUUCGAAGCAACGCGAAGAACCUUACCUGGUCUUGACAUCCAGAGAAUUCGGCAGAGAUGCCUUAGUGCCUUCGGGAACUCUGAGACAGGUGCUGCAUGGCUGUCGUCAGCUCGUGCCG